rfam:Ruegeria sp. CECT 5091 genome assembly, contig: 0003
CGGUUUGCAUCCGUGCGCCUGCUCACCUAUAUAGGAUAUGUCCUUCGGGACUAUGGACAUAAACGCGCUCGUAAUAAGCGGAUCGGACCCGGGGGCGGUACCCGGCGGCUCCACCAACCAUCCUUCGUUUGAGGAUUUUGGGGCCGAAAUAGGAUCGACGAACGUCUAAAGGGGUUAGCUUUGUCUCGGCUGUCUGCCACCGUUACCGGCGAAAAUAGUACAAUUGCAAACGACAAUCGUGCUCCGGUUGCAGUUGCUGCGUAAGCAGUAACUAGACCGAAACUUAAGCCCUUGCGCCUAGCCGCGUAAGGCGGGGUUCGCAGGUACCUGGCAACAGAAACCUGCAUU